GGUUGGUGUACACGUUGGUUUGGAGCCCUGCGGGCUCGGGUGUGUUUUGGAUAGGACACGGAGUAGAAUUUAACUUAGGAUGUUUCGGGUUUUUAGCUGGUAUAUUGCAGUUCUGCAAGCUUCGUAUUCGUGAAGCCUGGCUCGCAAAUGCAAAAAAGACCUGGUCUACCUUGGGGUCACAAAUGCAAUGUAGUCAUCACAAAGGAGAUAUCGCAAACA
rnacentral:lncRNA from 1 species